GAAACCUUAAAAAACCGACGCGAUUUGCCCGGCGCCUUAGACUUUCUGAAGUUAGGUUUCACUCGUGUCAUGUAUUUACAUUGUCAGUUCACGGUAACAUAGGCGUAUGGGCCACGUAUAGUGCACCUCUUUAAACGCAUUUCAGCGAGAAUCUACUUGUGUGCCUUUU